UGAAUUGCUUCCAGUGCUUGCUAUACUGAGACACAGUCUAGAUGUUUCCAUGUGUUAUGAUACAAUUAUGGAGAGAUACCUCUGCCUGAAUUAAGGACUAAGUCACUCAAACUCCACCUGAUCAUGAAUGACAUUAAGUGAAAUUUUAUCUUUUCCUCAUCCUCAAAGAAAAGAAUAUGAAUAUAACCAAGGAGGGGACGGGGAUCAGAGGAGACUCCACUUUUACAUCCUUGGACAGUCAAAGGGCUGUACCCAUCUCUUCCCCAUAGGAACACCUA